UGUGAUGGAGAUAAUCUCCUAUAAAUAAAUAAAACAAAUUAUAAAAAUUGCAAUACAACGUGUUUGUUGAGUUGGUUGUUUUGGAUUUUCUCUGGGGCCCGUAGGUGUAGCCGUUGCAAUUCCCACGGGUCGCCGAAGAUCGCAUCGAAACCCUCCGUUCUCUACAAUGGUGAAGAUCGAAGAGCUGAACGAAUCCGUGGCCAAAACCAACAGGAAGAGGAAUCAUGGAUCAACCUGUUUCUUCGUCUUCGUUGAUUAUUUUUUCAUCCUCAUGUUCCUGGCAUUCCUCUGCUUCAUCAUUUUCGAGAUUAUCGGUGUUUGAUUCGUCAAAUUGCAGAAUCUUCGCUUUCUUCUCAAUUAGGAUGCUUCUAUGACAUAGCUAGGCUUCCAAUUCCAAGCUCGAGGUUAUGGCCUGGCAGCCGGCAAGUGUCAUAUUUGAUCAACACAUAUUACUGUAAUAAUACACAUUUAUCAAUUUAUGUGUUGACAAAGCUUUAGCUAUGGAAUCCUAAAAUUUGCACUA